rnacentral:rRNA from 1 species
GCAGUAGCCACGGGAAUACGUAGGUGGCAAGCGUUGUCCGGAAUUAUUGGGCGUAAAGGGCUCGCAGGCGGUUUCUUAAGUCUGAUGUGAAAGCCCCCGGCUCAACCGGGGAGGGUCAUUGGAAACUGGGAAACUUGAGUGCAGAAGAGGAGAGUGGAAUUCCACGUGUAGCGGUGAAAUGCGUAGAGAUGUGGAGGAACACCAGUGGCGAAGGCGACUCUCUGGUCUGUAACUGACGCUGAGGAGCGAAAGCGUGGGGAGCGAACAGGAUUAGAGACCCCCGUAGUCCCUGUCUCUUAUAC